rnacentral:rRNA from 1 species
GACAGAGGUGCCAAGCGUUAGGCGGAAUCACUGGGCUUAAAGCGUGUGUAGGCGGAUCGUUAAGUACCUUGUGAAAUCCCACGGCUCAACCGUGGAACUGCUCGGUAUACUGGCGGUCUUGAGCCACCUAGGGGCAACUGGAACAAGCGGUGGAGCGGUGAAAUGCGUAGAUAUCGCUUGGAACGCCGAAGGUGAAAACAGGUCGCUGGGGAUGUGCCGACGCUGAGACACGAAAGCCAGGGGAGCAAACGGG